GGAUGUGUAGGUGAUCUGGCUCCAACAUGUGCCACCCUACUGAUCACUGGGGUUGAUUUAGCUGAUCUGGCUGGCUGAGAGGGUGUCCUCUUUCUCCCUCAAUCCUUCAUGUGAGUCCUUCCCAAAUGCUCAGUGGAAGAGGAAGACCACUCUCAAUAGAGGAGAGACCAUGCCUCAGUCAAGGGUAUGCAAGUAGCUGCACUCCCGUGCUAGAACUUCUCAACAAGCUCUCAAGGAAUAUGGUGCAUGAUCACUUCUAUUUUACAUAGUACCAACAAUCAGACUCUCUUU
rnacentral:snRNA from 1 species